UUUGAUUCGGAUAUUUUCUCUCAGGUUACGUAGUCGCGCACUGCGACUGGUGAUUUCCUCCACGUAGGUUUUGGGGAACCAGCCCCGUUCCCCGUCGGACAGUCUGAUGCCUUCGACCCAGCCUGCAUGAAGAAUGUCGGCCUUCUCCAGCGUCAGCUCGUCGUGCUCCUGAGCCUGAUAACUUUUGAUGCACUGAACCUGUGAUAUAUCUGAGGAGAAAUAAUGAAGAAAGAGUUAACAGAUUCAGUAUGGUGGAACAAAACAACGAUGACCUUCCACCUCCGUACUGACCGUCAUUUUCACUGGCCUGUUCGAUGUCUUCAAGAGGAUUGGAUGGAAACAUGGCCGUGAUCCAUCUCUGUUUCCCGCUCCUUGGAUUAAGCAAUACCAACAAAGACGGUUAAAGCGCCAUCUGCUGAGGCAUGUUUCAUCUAGUCUAACAUUUGAAACCUUGUGCCAUAUUUUAAAAGGAUAAAAAAAGAAAGAAAGAUCUGGAAUGAAAGUGGACUUUUCUGUUUUAAAGUCACAUCCACACCAGAUAGUUUAUAAAAUCCUAGGAUUUGUUGAUCAGAUUGUUGCCAGUUGUUGUUUUGAUCCCAACUGUAGUUUUAAAAGAAACAAAAGUUUUCAUUUUAUUUUAUGACUAUAAUGAUGCACUGAUUUCAAAAGGCUUAAAGAAGUGUAUUAUGUAUUAUUAAUAUCAUGUUUAAAGGCACAUUUCGAAGCAUUUAAGGACAACAUGCAUGCAAGGUGAAUUUAAAAAUGUGAAACAAAGCAGUCAGGAAAAAAUCAAGAUGACCUUGGGUGUAAAAACAAAAACAUUCUAUUAAUUCUAUACCUACAUAUCUAUCUGAGAAUGAAGGGUAUUUUUGUGAGGCAGAAUUUCAAUCUUAUCUGACUUGGUGAACUUUAUGUGGAAGAACCAAAACAAGGAAAUUGCAACAGGCAAUGACAAAACUGAACCCCAACAGCAGUGGAAUAAAGGCUGAGGGAGGGGCCGAGGGCGGAUUAUGUUACAGAUGUGGAAGUAUGUAAUAUGUUAUAUAUGUGCUGUUAAGGAUGGCCCCCAGACUCUCAACCUAAGGGAAGGGGGCAAACAACAGUGCUAUCAAUUGAAAUGGGGAAAGUGCUCAUUUUAUACCACCUACAGAGGGAGUAAGAUUUGAAUUUAUUUACAGUUGCAGUUUUGUUUGUCGUGGCUGUAAAACCCUCUGUGCCUAUCUCGGCUAUUCCACAUAAUGAUCUGUGCUCUGUUGCCUAAUUUGUCUGCAUCACUGACAUGUUGUAACACAUCAAAGGAGGCAAGAAUAAACUCUAACACGGCCGACCUCUCGUUAGGAGGUCAUAAGGCAGACCAGACGUGGGGCUGAAUCACCGUGACACACUGCAGAGCCGUGCCGUUUAAAGUAGACGUGUGCUGAAGGCUGAGGUCUUGGAUCAGUCUACAGUUUGUGUGGUCUGACCUGGGCAUUACUCACUCAGUGUGGGAUUUGAGCAGGAUCUGGUGUUUUAGCUGCUGGCCCUCACACAGCUGCAGAUGGAAAAUGAAUCCUGAGAUGCCCUGCAGCUUCUGACUGAGAUCCUUCACCUUCAGCGCUCCGAUCUUGGCGUGAACAAACACCAUAAACUUCCAGGGACUGCAUAAGACAAAAAAAUGACAAUAAUUACUGAGAAAGCGAAAUGAACAUUGACUCCUCAGCACCGGUAAGGACGAAUGAAAUUGGCUUUCCUAAUUAAAGGUUUAUUCUUUA